UUGGCUUAGAAGCAGCCAUCCUUGAAAGAGUGCGUAAUAGCUCACUGGUCAAGUGAUCGUGCGCCGACAAUGUAGCGGGGCUCAAGCACACCGCCGAAGCCGCGGAUCCUCAACAUAUACCCUGUUAGUUUUACUGGCCAGGGGUUGGGGGUGGUAGGGGAGCGUUGUGUACUGGGUGAAGCGGCUAAGUGAUUAUGUCGUGGACGGUACGCAAGUGAGAAUGCAGGCAUGAGUAGCGAUACUAGGGUGAGAAACCCUAGCGCCGAAUGACCAAGGGUUCCAGGGCUAGGCUAGUCCGCCCUGGGUGAGUCGGGUCCUAAGGCGAGGCCGACAGGCGUAGUCGAUGGGUAACCGGUUGAUAUUCCGGUACCGGCUGGUGACCGUCAAGUGUUGACUGAAAGGUACUAACCCACGCCAGGAACAUGAUUGAAUGCCUUCGGGUGUUUGGUUGUGGUUUUGGUUUGGGGACAGGCUUUCUUGGUAGGCAAGCGUGUGGAGUGACGCACAGUGGAAGCCUUCGCGAGGUGAUGGAAUACCUCGUUUAACCGUGUAGCUUACUGCUCAGGUAAAUCCGGGUGGUUUUAUGUGAGGCGGGAUGAUGACCAUCUUUUGGGUGGGAAGUAGGGGUGAUCCUGUGGUGCCGAGAAAAGCUUCGACGCGAGGUGGCUGGCCGCCCGUACCCUAAACCGACACAGGUGGUCGGGCAGAGUAUGCCUAGGCGCACGAGAUAAUCAUGGUUAAGGAACUCGGCAAAAUGCCCCCGUAACUUCGGGAGAAGGGGGGCCUGAUACUUGAUGAAACCGUUUUUUGGCUUUCUAGGGUUGAGGGUCGCAGAGACCAGGGAGAAGCGACUGUUUACUAAAAACACAGGUGCGUGCGAAGCCGUAAGGCGAUGUAUACGUACUGACGCCUGCCCGGUGCUGGAAGGUUAAGAGGAACUGUCAGCCCUUUUUUGGGUGAAGCGGUGAAUUUAAGCCCCAGUAAACGGCGGUGGUAACUAUAACCAUCCUAAGGUAGCGAAAUUCCUUGUCGGGUAAGUUCCGACCUGCACGAAUGGCGUAACGACUUCUCUACUGUCUCAACCAUGAACUCGGCGAAAUUGCAUUACGAGUAAAGAUGCUCGUUACGCGCAGAAGGACGGAAAGACCCCGGGACCUUUACUAUAGCUUGGUAUUGGUGCGCGUUAUAGCUUGUGUAGGAUAGGUGGGAGACUGUGAAGUGGUCACGCUAGUGAUUGUGGAGUCGUUGUUGAAAUACCACUCUGGUUAUAGCGUGUGCCUGAACCUUGGCCCGUGAUCCGGGUUAGGGACAGUGCCUGGUGGGUAGUUUAACUGGGGCGGUUGCCUCCUAAAUUGUAACGGAGGCGCUCAAAGGUUCCCUCAUCCUGGUCGGUAACCAGGUGUUGAGUGUAAGUGCACAAGGGGGCUUGACUGCGAGACUGACAGGUCGAGCAGGUACGAAAGUAGGAACUAGUGAUCCGGCGAUCCCGUGUGGGUGGGUCGUCGCUCAACGGAUAAAAGGUACCCCGGGGAUAACAGGCUGAUCCUGCCCAAGAGUCCAUAUCGACGGCAUGGUUUGGCACCUCGAUGUCGGCUCGUCGC
rnacentral:rRNA from 1 species